rnacentral:rRNA from 1 species
GUGCCAGCCGCCGCGGUAAUACGUAGGGUGCGAGCGUUAAUCGGAAUUACUGGGCGUAAAGCGUGCGCAGUCGGCUUUGCAAGACAGAGGUGAAAUCCCCGGGCCCAACCUGGGAACUGCCUUUGUGACUGCAAGGCUAGAGUACGGCAGAGGGGGAUGGAAUUCCACGUGUAGCAGUGAAAUGCGUAGAGAUGUGGAGGAACACCGAUGGCGAAGGCAGCCCCCUGGGCCAAUACUGACGCUCAUGCACGAAAGCGUGGGGAGCAAACAGGAUUAGAUACCCUGGUAGUCCACGCCCUAA